rnacentral:tRNA from 1 species
GUGGGUAGAGCUCAGUGGUAGAGCGCAUGCUUAGCAUGCACAGGGUCCUGGGUUCAAUCCCCAGCACCUCACU